GUGUGCCAACUGUCGUGAAAGCACAUCGACGCAGAAAGCCGCGAGCAGGACGCUAAUAAGUCAGUAUUAUUAUUUGUUCUCCAGUUUGAAAUAUUUACGUCGUAUAAAAUACAUCUUUGAUUAUUUAGUAAAGGAUAAAGUCGUCUCAACGCGCUAGAAGCACUGUGCACUCGUGCUAUCUUUACUUGUUAGUUAGCUUAGCUCGCUAGUUAGCUUAGCUUGUUAGCUGCUAACAGAAGACACAGACGUUAUCAACACAUCGCUAAGUAGAGAUCAAGUGUGAGAGUAAAGUGUUGUGAUUGUGUGAAAAUGUCUACAUUACAAAUGUUGAGAGCGUUGGUGGAUCAGCGACUAACUGCUGCCGUUGAAGAAAUAUUUGUAGUGUUAGAAAGAAUGAUAGCAGAAUACGAGGCUGAACUUUCUAGAACAAAAGAGGAGAACAAUCAACUACUGGACGCUCUUUUCACGAAACAUCAAGUUGUGUUACACAAAAGAGACGUCGAUGAAGAACCUUUACCUCAUAAGCAGGAGGAGGAACCACAGUCCUCCAACAUACAUGAGGAAGAAGAGGUACCACAAUCCCAACAUUUUAAAGAGGGAGGAGAGGAGCCACAGCCCCCCCACAUUAAAGAGGAACAUGAGACGCCACAGACCCGUAGUGUUAAACUGACCCUUCACAUUAAAGAGCAAGAGGAGGACCCACUGAUCCCUCACAUUAACAAGGAAGAGGAGGACCCACUGACCCCCUACUUUAAAGAGGAAGAGGAGGAACACCGCAUCAGUCAGCCUAAAUGGUUGGAGGAGUUCUCAGUGACUGGUGUCCCUGUGAAGAGUGAUGAUGAUGUGGUCAAAGGUGAAAGUGAGGAGAGGGGAGGGGGGGAGCCUCCAAGCAGCAGCUCAACACAACACAUGACAACAGAAGCUGAUGGAGACCACUGUGGAGGAUCACAAGCAGACAAGCUCUUAGCUCCACUAUCAGAUAGUGAGGACACAACGUCACACUCUCCUGACACUGAUGAUGAAGACUCUAAAGAUGAUAAGACAUGUCACACUGACAACACUCACUUCACAUGUUCUCACUGUGAAAAAACUUUUAAAUCUCCUAGGAAUUUGAAAAGACACAUGACAACACACACUGGAGAAUACCCCUUUACCUGUUCACUCUGUAGUAAAGGUUUUGCACAAAGUUACACUUUGAAAGUGCACAUGAGAACGCACACCGGUGAAAAACCUUAUAUCUGUUCAGUCUGUGGUAAAGGUUUUACAGAAAGUCAAAAUUUGAAAGUACACAAGAGAACACACACUGGUGAAAAACCUUUUUCUUGUUCAAUCUGUGGUAAAGGUUUUACACAAAAUCAAAAUUUGAAUGUACACAAGAGAACACACACUGGUGAAAAACCUUUUUCCUGUCCAAUCUGCAACAGAAGCUUUUGUGACCAAUCAAACUUUGUAGCACACAUGAGAAGACACACAGGAGAGAAAGUGUUGAGUUGCAGUGUGUGUGGUGAAAGAUUCUCUUCUAAGUAUCAGUGUAAGAAACACAAGUGUGCUGGUGAGAACAGCAGCAGCAAAUGAAACUGCAGGAUUUGAAAUAAAUUGUCCAGACUUUAAUUUUGACUUUCUAACAACAUCUGCACAUGUAACAUGUGUGACAUUGUUGUUUUUGUAACAAUUUGUUUAAUAUGCUUCUACAUUCAUAAAUUAGAUAGUUUGAAAUAUGAGAAUAUUACAUAUUUGUAUUUGUAUUUGUUAAUAAUCCAUAGAUUUGCACCUUUAAAUGAUAUAUUGUACAUAUUUACUGGUUCACAUCUGAAACAUCUUCUGGACCACUUCAGGGAGCAUAAUAUUAUUUACUUUAUACAUCAUUUGAACAGUUGUCUUUUAUUCACUUUUAAAAUGUGUGACUUCAGGAAUUUUUGGGGGGUUUCUAUAAUCCAUUUUAUUAAUUAUCUUCAUUACUCUCUUUUGUAAUAUGAUGAUUGUGCUGUGAUUAUUUUGUAUGUAUGUCCCCAGACCUUUAUGCAGUACAAAAGUUAGAGAAAAUUGCUGAAUUGUUUGUGGAAGGAUGUUUAUUUUAGUUAAUUUAAUUAAUUAAUUUAUUUUUUUACAAACUUAUGUUCGUGGAUAAGACAAAAAUUCCCAUUAUUGGGUUUUAAACAUUUUAAAUAUGUUGUAUUUUUAAACAUCCCCAAAACAAUAUCAAUAUCAAUCAAAGUUCGGAGUGUCAGGCAAAAGCCAGAAUUGUACAUCAUCCCACAGAGAUUUACUUUGCAUUACGUUGGAGCCAAAUUUCCUUAUUUGUUUAUUUAAUUUUUAUUUGGUUUUCUCUAUUUGAUUGCUGGCCUCUGUUGAUGCUGAAUUUCCUUUUUGGCAGAUUGCUCCGCCCACUUCAUCUUGAAUACCAGGAAGUGUUGACAAGGAUGGGACCGUUGCUAUGGUGCGGUUGCCAUGGUAAGGUCAUUUAAUCGGGUUCAGGUGGGAGUACUCUGAGGGCCGAUUGCAUGGAGGACACAAACAGUUUAAGACCGUGCCGUGCGUGGUCAGGUCUCGCUACUGUGACAAUGUUCCAUUCAAGCCAAGGUCAGCAUACAUUAUGUUCUAUAGCCUACAUUUGAUUUCAUUUUGAUAGCUUGGAAUAAACGGAUUGUCAUAUGCAAACAUAUUUCCACAGUACUUGACAUUGAAUCAUUUGCAUGCGUCAAACUGGUCAACACAGUCGCCCUCAGUAUCAGCUUAAAGGUAAAGGCUGUACAACAAUACCAAAAUGUACAGUAACGCCCACAAACACUUGCACUUUGUCAGCAAAGUUCUUGUAAAAAAGAAAAGAAUGUUGCUGAGCUAAUGCCCCGCCUAUCCUCCCCCGAGCCACUAACGACUUCAUCUGGGACACAAAGGACAAGACAAAAAGUGAAAGACAGACAUAAAAUGUAUGCAUCCUUUCUAACGGCCACUGGGGGGCAGUAGAGGUAACUAUUCCAGCAAGGUUUUACAAAGUGUUUUACAAGGUCUGACUCAAAUUGCCUACCUGGUCUGUGUGACUACACUCUGGCAAGCCAUGUUGUCUGAUAUAGUCCUCAAACAUACAUUUUGCUACUGUAAAGGCACGCUGGAAAAAGUUGACAUAGCGUGUAAAGUAGUCCAUGACCACAAGUGCACACCUGUUGCUCUAAGAUGUGACAGGUAACUCAGUAAUAUUCAUAGCAGCAGAUCCUAUCAUGUUGAAAUGUACCAUCUUUAUCUUUCAUGAUGGUCACUGCGCUUAAGCAGCUUGGAUCAAGCGUCCAGUCAAUGUUUGGCUUUACCGUGUCUAAUUUCAGAUAUUUCACUUUCCUUUUCUUGGAUGCUUUGCCCCCAGAAGAUUCAGCCUCACACUUUUCCCCUGCUCCCACUUUUAGUACUAUGGCCACAGCGAGUCGAUCAGAUGAAUUGUUUCAGCUUUAGUUUUUACUUCCUGAUCCAACCCUGACUUGGAAUUUAACCCUGGAUUGGAAUUUAACCCAUGCAAGACAGAACUGCCAAAUUUGAAUGACUAUCACAAACAGAAAGAAAACUACAACAUCGGUGAAGUCAGCACAAAGCGUCAGAUGGACACAACAACUGUGCCAAGAGCCAAGGUCAAAUAUUUUCUUGUGCUUGGAGACGGCACCAUAUCUAACAUUAACAUACACACUGUGAUGUAACAUUAUUCGGUAUUAAGAAGGGACCCUUAUUUUGAAGGCAAGUUGCUCCUUCCUCUGGUUUCCGGAAGUCUGCGCGUGACAGUCUGACGCUCACUUGUUUACACACGAGACGUAUUUACGUGAUUCAGCGCUUAAAGUUUGUUUUGUCUUCCACGAAGUGCCCUGGAAACAUUGUCUCACAUCCCUCCUUCUUUCGGCUUCUUGGACGUAAUGAUGUAACUACAUACGUACGUAACACAUGCAUUAGCUUUGGUUGUUGUUAGCUAAUAAUAGUGAUUUGGAUAGUUAAAUUGAAUGUAAAUCCUAUCUUAACAGUAAGAUUAAUUGCAAAUUGUUUGUUGCCUCUCUUGGACAGCUUUUUUACAUGUUCACCUGUCUGCACGUACGUGUCACCAGACAGGGUGAGUGACCGCCGUAAACACCAAUAAUUUUAUACGGACUGGUAAAAUGUUUUAUUAUAUAACCUUAAUAAUUGUAAAAGUAAUAGUCUUAAUGCCACAGUGCUGAACAACGAUCUGCCUAUAUCAAACCUGCCAUUUUUGGGUAAAAUCCUGAAAAAAGGUAUCUCCCAAAUCUGGUGAUGUGCAAUACCACUGAUUUUUUUUCAGAUCCGAUAACAAGUAAUAUCCAGGCUGGUAUCGGCAAUACGGGUCUAAUACUGAUACUAUGCGCAAAUAUACUCAAUGGGUCUGGUAAUGUUUAAAAAGUAGUGUAUUUUAAGUGCUGCUGAUCUUGGGGAAUCAUCUUCAAACGAUAUAAAGUCAGAGGGCGAAACAAAUAAUGGUGUUAUUCUGCAUUAAAUGCAUUAUCUUGUCUAUAUUCAAUUCUGUAUGAAGUGUAUUCAAAUAGUCUACAUAAAAGGAAACAUACAUUUGCUGUUAUAUAAUACUGAGUGACUCAUUUCACCUGCCGGUAAUUUUCUUAAAUAAACAAUUGACCGACUGAAUGACUGAGCACAGCACAAUGUGCCGCUGCGCUACGUACUUACCUCUGCGGGUGAAAAAAUAGUUCCCACCAUCCACGUUUCAUUUUGACAAGAUCUCAGUGAUUUAGUAACUUUUCAGUGUGUUCAUGUUAAUGAUAUAUAUUAUCUAAAAUAAAGUAUCAAAACUAUCAAUAUUGUGACUCGAAAAUCGAUAUUAGAGCAUAGAGAGCUGGUAUCGGCCAUAUUGAAAUUUCAGUAUCGAUCUGUACAUCACUACCAAAAGGUUGGUGACUUUUUCCUAUUUAACAAUGUGUUUGAUACUUUCCAAUCAGGCUUUAGGUCCCACCACAGAAGUGAAACAGUGAUAAGGUGACAAAUGAUAUCGGCUUGUAAACGGAUGCAGGACAAGUCCCAGUCUUGGUUCUGCUGGACUUGAAGGCUGCCUUUGACACAGUUGACCAUACUAUCUUAUUACAGAGGUUAGAAAACUGGGUGGGAAUAUCCACUUCUAAGAACUGGUAACUUUGUUUCUGACCAAAGGGUUAUGACCUGUGGGGUUCCUCAGGGCUCUAUUCUGGGACUCUAUUGUUCAACGUGUACAUGCUGCAACUUGCACACCUUGACACUGAAUAUUCAUGAAAGACAUAACAAGGCCGCCAUUGUUUAUUCAUUUUAAUAAGUGGUAUGACCGUGUGAGAACUUCUGUAACUAAGACAAAUCUACAUGUGUGACACUUUUAGCCUAGUGAGAAUGUUUCAUACCACCCAGCCACCAAUGUACGUGACACGGUUGGACGGUAAGGGACAGUUCUGAGGUGGUGUUCAGUCAUGCUGGACAAGAACUUUUGGCACCACCUCAAAGGCAUCUGGAAUGUUGUCCUCCGAGUCUUUCGUCAUAGGGAGGAUCUUAGUGUUGUCUUGUGCUGUGACAUUUCCAGUUUUGCUGGGUUCAAUGCCACAGUGUACAGCCAGCUUGGCAUAGAUUGAGUGGAAUUGCUGUGUGUUGGCAUUGUUGUUGCAGCCUCCUGUUUAUAAUAAGAGAAGAGUACAUAAAUACGAUUGUGCAUUAGCAACCUCAUCUUACAUUCUUUUUGGCAUUUCCAUAUAUAGUUAUUAAUAUUGUAUUUCUUGAAAUGUCUUAUGCCUAUAUAAAAGAUGAAACAAUUAAAAUAUUUCUCUUCAUUUCAUAUUUUCAAUUAUCAACACACAGCACAUGAUUUAUGAAGGUAAACAAAUGUAACGAACAAUCCUUGACGUGAUUAAAUGAGUGAGUCGUUAAAAUAUAUAUUUGGUAUCAUUUUAUAGUUAAAGUCCCAAUGAUAGUUAUACACACACACUAGGUGUGGUGAAAUUAUCUUCAGCAUUUGACCCAUUCCCAUGUUCACCUCCUAGGAGGUGAGGGGAGCAGUGAGCAGCAGUGGCCAUGCUCAGGAAAUAUUUUGGUGAUUUAACCCCCAAUUCCAACCCUUGAUACUGAGUGCCAAGCAGGGACGUAAUGGGUCGUAUUGUUUAAGUGUUUGGUAUGACUCGGCCGGGUUUGAACUCAAGACCUUCCAGUCUCAGGGCGGACACUCUAACCACAGGGCCACUGAGUAUGUCUUAUAGAUCCGUUUACAGUGCACAAUAAAUCUGAUUUAUUUUUAUGCCCUCAAGUGACAAAGAUCUGAAUUUUUUUGACAGUCCAAAUGCUUCAAAAUCCUUCUAAUAUGAUGUUUUGGCAUCAGAUUGAGGCCACAUCAGGGGGUAGUCCUGAAUACGAUUGGAAUCUGAUCUUUUUAAGAGUGACUUCAUUCUAAACGCAAUGCGACAAGAAUGUGACUUUCUUUUCAGCUUUGGGCGAGCUACGUCAUUCGUGUGUGCCGUGGAUAUUUGUGGAUAUUUUAACCACAACACCCGGUUUUGGUGAGCAAAGUCUAUUUAAGUCGAUUACAUUUUCGGUGCAUCACUUGUCAGUAGUGCGCAAAUAGUAGGCUAUAUGUAAUAUAUACAUUUAUUUGUAUAUAUUAUUUACUUUGAUUCCAAAGAAAUAGCAAUUGUCGAAGGACCGGAAUUCACUCUGUGGCGAGUUGAAAAAUAAAGCUCCUGUAGAUCCACGCUGAUGUCCGUGUCUCCUCUACUUAACAGCCAUUAAAAGAUUACAACCCUCCCAAAUAUAUUACACUACAUACAUCCAUUCAUACAUUAUAUUACUUUCAUUUACUUUCACGUAAAAAAAACACUCAUUUUGAAGGUGUUGCGACUUUCAUUUUAUUUUGUGGUAGUAGCGAAUUCCUCCCGGUCAACUUUACUAAUAAAAUAUGAACUUCACAGCUAAAAAACAACGGCGGACAUGAAUUGUAGAUGAGACUAAUAUUUGUAGCAGGAGAAAAACUGCUAAAAAACGUAUCAUUUUCCUCAUUAGCGUCACGAUCUCAGCACCACAAAUAAAUCCAACUUUGUCUUACACGGAUAAAUGGGUUGUACUUGUAUAGCGCUUUUCUACCUUCAAGGUACUCAAAGCGCUUUGACACUACUUCCACAUUUACCCAUUCAUACACACAUUCACACACUGAUGGAGGGAGCUGCCAUGCAAGGCGCCAACCAGCACCCAUCAAGAGCAAGGGUGAAGUGUCUUGCUCAGGACACAACGGACAUGACGAGGUUGGUUCUAGGUGGGAUUUGAACCAGUGACUCUCGGGUUGCGCACGGCCACUCUCCCACUGCGCCACGCCGUCCCAUAUGAAUAUGAAUAUUUUAAUUAGUGGAACCCUCAGAUUUGAAGACAUUGGUGCAUCUAAUGGUUUAUUCUCUAAAUCCUUGUGAGUGUCAAAUGAAGUGAGGUCGCUGAUGAUAAAUGAUUUAAAUCUCUGAGCUGCUAUCUUACCGUGGUAGAGGAGUUUGCGUGUCCCAAUGAUCCUAGGAGCUAUGUUGUCUGGGGGCUUUCAUGCCCCCUGGUAGGGUCUCCCAAGACAAACAGGUCCUAGGUGAGUGAUCAGACAAACAGCAGCUCAAAGACUUCCAUGGAAUUACAACAAAAUGAACCCAGAUUUCCCUCGCCCGGACGCGGGUCACCGGGGCCCCGCUCUGGAGCCAGGCCCGGAGUUGGGGCACGAUGGCGAGCGCCUGGUGGCCGGGCCUGUCCCCAUGGGGCCCGGCCGGGCACAGCCCGAAGAGGCAACAUGGGUCAUCCCUCCAAUGGGCUCACCACUCAUGGGAGGGGCCAUAGAGGUCGGGUCCAAUGUGAGCUGGGCGGCAGCCGAAGGCAGGGCACUUGGCGGUCCGAUCCUCGGCUACAGAAGCUAGCUCUUGGGACGUGGAACGUCACCUCACUGGGGGAGAAGGAGCCUGAGCUAGUGCGCGAGGUAGAGAAGUUCCAGCUGGAUAUAGUCGGACUCACCUCGACGCACAGCAAGGGCUAUGGAACCAGUUUUCUCGAGAGGGACUGGACUCUCUUCCACUCUGGCGUUGCCGGCAGUGAGAGGCGACGGGCUGGGGUGGCCAUUCUUGUUGCCCCCCGGCUCAAAGCCUGCACGUUGGAGUUCAACCCAGUGGACGAGAGGGUAGCUUCCCUCCGCCUUCGGGUGGGGGGACAUGUCCUCACUGUUGUUUGUGCUUACGCACCAAACAGCAGUUCAGAGUACCCACCCUUUUUGGGUACACUCGAGGGAGUACUGGAAAGUGCUCCCCCGGGGGAUUCCCUUGUCCUACUGGGGGACUUCAACACUCAUGUUGGCAAUGACAGUGAAACCUGGAGAGGCGUGAUUGGGAAGAAUGGCCGCCCGGAUCCAAACCCAAGUGGUGUUUUGUUAUUGGACUGUUGUGCUCGUCAUGGAUUGUCCAUAACAAACACCAUGUUGAAACAUAAGGGUGUCCAUAUGUGCACUUGGCACCAGGACACCCUGGCCGCAGUUCCGUGAUCGACUUUGUAGUUGUGUCAUCGGAUUUGCGGCCUCACGUUUUGGACACUCGGGUGAAGAGAGGGGCGGAGCUUUCUACUGAUCACCACCUGGUGGUGAGUUGGCUGCGAUGGUGCGGGAAGAUGCCGGACAGACCUGGCAGGCCCAAGCGCAUUGUGAGGGUCUGCUGGGAACGUCUGGCAGAGUCUCCUGUCAGAGAGAGUUUCAAUUCCCAUCUCCGGAAGAACUUUGAACAUGUCAGGAGGGAGGUGCGGGACAUUGAGUCCGAGUGGACCAUGUUCCGAACCUCUAUUGUCGAGGCGGCUUAUUGGAGCUGUGGCCGCAAGGUUGUUGGUUUCUGUCGUGGCAGUAAUCCCAGAACCCGUUGGUGGACACCAGCAGUGAGGGAUGCCGUCAAGCUGAAGAAGGAGUCCUAUCGGGUUCUUUUGGCUCAUAGGACUCCGGAGGCAGUGGACGGGUAUCGACGGGCCAAGCGGUGUGCAGCUCCAGUGGUCGCGGAGGCAAAAACUCGGACAUGGGAAGAGUUCGGGGAAGCCAUGGAAAAAGACUUCCGGACGGCUUCGAAGCGAUUCUGGACCACCAUACGCCGCCUCAGGAAGGGGAAGCAGUGCACUAUCAACACCGUGUAUGGUGCGGAUGGUGUUCUGCUGACUUCGACUGCGGAUGUUGUGGAUCGUUGGAGGGAAUACUUCGAAGACCUCCUCAAUCCCACCAACACGUCUUCCUUUGAGGAAGCGGUGCCUGGGGAAUCUGGUUGGCUCUCCUAUUUCUGGGGCUGAGGUUGCGGAGGUAGUUAAAAAACUCUUCGGCGGCAAGGCCCCGGGGGUAGAUGAGAUCAAUCAAUCAAUCAAUCAAUCAAUCAAUCAAUGUUUAUUUAUAUAGCUCCAAAUCACAAAUGUCUCAAAGGACUGCACAAAUCUUUACGACUACGACAUCCUCGGAAGAACCCACAAACGGGCAAGGAAAACUCACACCCAGUGGGCAGGGAGAAUUCACAUCCAGUGGGACGCCAGUGACAAUGCUGACUAUGAGAAACCUCUAGGGGACUGAAAGCAAUGGAUGUCGAGCGGGUCUAACAUAAUACUGUGAAAGUUCAAUCCAUAGUGGCUCCAACACAGCCGCGAGAGUUCAGUUCAAGGCGGAUCCAAGACAGCAGCGAGAGACGGUGGUAACGAACUGCUCUCAGAGAGACGUGAAGGCUAAAGGCUGAGUGACACACAGCAGUCGGCACACAGAUGCUUUGUGCACUGGAACACAGAGAGAUGUCUCCAUCGCUGAGGGACCUCAUCACACUUGGACAUUUCUUUCACAUCUGCACAAAUUGCUCCUCAUCUUACAUGAUGUCUCCUUUGGGUGACACCUUCAAUCUGCAUUUUUCAACAAUAUUUUGCCAGUGAAUCAUGUUGAUGUUGAUCUUUGUGUCCAUGUAGUUGUGAUGUCAUCAUUUGGGGCUCAUGUGCCAUCCCAUUGACAAGGUUUUCUUCUUUCCUUUUCAAACCAAUAGACAGCUGCUUAUCAGUGAAUGUCACCUUGUGUCACAUCUCAUCAUUAUUUUUAUAAAUAUUUUGGAACAAUAAUACCAUUUUAAGUACUUUUGUAUGUUAAUGUCAAUUAUUUUUAUGUAACAUUUAAGAAUGAUGAUUUUGAGAACUGCUGUCCAGUUGUUAUAUCUUGUUUUUUCGAUUACAUUAGUCUCAUUUGCAUGGCACUUGCACUUCCGAGACCAUUAGAUGGCAGCACUGUAUAACUAUUUAUGGUAUGUUGUCAAACUAGAAAGUAGCUUUUUUUCAGGAAGAUGAAUUUGUUAGGUUGCGCCCUACAAAGUGUCAAUACUGUAAGAAUAGUUCUUAUUACAUAAAAUUGUAACAUUUUAACUAUAAUAUUAGUUGUCGUUUCCUUUACCAAAUUCCAAGGUGUGGAAAUCGCCAUGUAAAACCCCUCAUGCUAAAAAUAGCCUGUAUAUGGCAAAUCCUAUGUAAAUUAGCAAUAAGCUAGCGCAUUUUGGAAGAGUGUCGCAUUACUUUGCGUUUGAGCUGUUUUUUAUUAAGCACACUGUGUUGGUGUUGAAAAGUGCAACAUGACUUUGAGGGAGUUUGGCUGAGUCCGGCCUGAGUGCUGCUUCAGUGAAUGUUUACGUGAGCCCGUGUUUAGUCUGAAAGCAGACAUGACCAGUCUGAAACCGGACAUGACGUCACAUGAAACAAAGGUAUCGAACUAUGGCACCCUUUGAUUUUACGUGAAUUGAUAGUAACAGGGGAAUUUGGUCAUUACCUACAAAAGUACUGAAUUCGGUACCCAACCCUACUAGUUAGUGUAACACAAUAUUUUUAUGACAAGGCGUUGCAAAAUAUUUAUAUUUUUUUAAAACCUUUGCUGUUUUUUCCGUUCUUUUUUGCAUUGUCAUAUUUUUGCUUGAUUGCCAAACAUGCAGAGGAUGUCAUUUGGGAAGUAAACAAGGUAGGCCGUUCAUAUACUCUUAAUAUUCAGUGUUUAAUGUGUACAAUGUUUCAUGUACAUUCUGGGUGUUUUAUUCAGUAUAAACUUGUCAAAUACAA